GGGGGGGGGGGGGGGGGGGGGGGGGGGGGGGGGGGCGGGCGGGGGGGCGGGGGGAGCGGGGGGGGCGGGGGGGGAGCGGGGGGGUAAUGCGGCGGAACGUAGCCUCGGGGGGGGGCGAGCCCCGCGAAAGUGGGGCUAAUACCGCAUGGGCUCUGCGGGGGAAAGGGGGGGGCCUGCGGGGGCCUCGCGCUGGGGGAGCGGCCGAUGUCCGAUUAGCUAGUUGGUGGGGUAAAGGCUUACCAAGGCGACGAUCGGUAGCUGGUCUGAGAGGAUGAUCAGCCACACUGGGACUGAGACACGGCCCAGACGCCUACGGGAGGCAGCAGUGGGGAAUUUUGGACAAUGGGGGCAACCCUGAUCCAGCCAUGCCGCGUGAGUGAAGAAGGCCUUCGGGUUGUAAAGCUCUUUCGGACGGAACGAAAUGGGCGGGACUAAUACUCCUGUCUGAUGACGGUACCGUAAGAAGAAGCACCGGCUAACUACGUG
rnacentral:rRNA from 1 species